GGUUAGAUUUGUGACUCUACAGAAAUCCUGCCAUUAGCCAUUUUUAGCGUUCCACACGAAGUUUUUGUUACGUUGCGAUUGUGAACGACAACUUGAAUAUUGUUUAUUAUUAAUUGAAUGCUGUACUACAUUACGUUUUACAAGAUCUUCAAGAAUGAUUAGCAUCAGUGAUGCUCAUACACACACUUAAUGUUUUAAAAUCGAGUGGUGUCUCACAAAAUGGGUAAAAUCAAAAUGGAAAAUGAUGUUGAUGUUCAAAGUGAAAAAGAUUCCAUUUGCGUGGUAUCAGAUGAGGUUCAUAUACAAUCAGGAACUUCAAUAAAAAAAGAUGAAACUGAGGUAA